UAUUGACUCCGAGCAUAUUAUCCUGAUAUCAACCCUAUGGAUAAAUGCCGAAAUAUUUUUUUAAAAUAUUUAAGGGUAUGUUUGGAAACGAGCAUGCCUUCCGUGUUUGAAAAGGAGCAGCAAUA
rnacentral:ncRNA from 1 species